CAGGGAUGAGAUGAGAGAUGUGAGAUGUUUCGCGAGAGGCUGGCAGAAAAAUAAAAAUGACAUCGCGCCGGCCGCCGAUUGAAAAGAUCAUAGUGAAACGCGUUUAAAAAAUAAUCUUCAUAUUAUUUGCAGAAGAGAUAGAUGAUGAAACGAAUUUAAGUUUUAUGCCUGCCUCUCUCACGAAACAUCUCUCAUACCUGUCCUGACUUGUUCGCUCUCAAGCUCCAAGCAGCAGCAGCCACCGCCAGCAGGGUGGAGGGAGGAGAUUCUCAUGUGUUCAGUUUCAGUUCAACAAAACAAAAGUCGCUUCUCGGUGCAUGGGCGGCCCGUAUCUCGCGGAAUUUGAGCCGACGGAGGUUUUCGCCGACCUGCCGAGGACCCUGAAUGGACCAGGAACAAUCGCCGUGCCCCUAAGUGAAGUUCCUACCCAUUAGAACCAAGCAGCUCCGACCGAUCACUCCUGAAACCUAUAAACCGUUGCGUUCUAAGGUACGUGGAAUUAUGACCACUCUGGUGCGGGUCCCAAAUGAACUUAUGGUCGACCAACUGUGUAAAGAAGAGUUUAGCAAUAAGACUAUUCCGAAGACAAUCAUAUCUGGCAACUGUGCAAAUUCUACUGCUAUCAACUUAGGCAUUUCACCCCUGACGGAACUUAACAACUAUCAGGCCACUAAAUCACUUUUGGAGGAUGUUUUUGAUGAAGAUUUUCUCAAUAUGUUCCGGCACAUAAUGAAGAACAAAUGCCAAGUUAGCCAGCAAUCGGAAGUUUGUAGGAUUGGUGCAGUAUUGCGCUGGUGACCAAGACUGGAGAAGAAAGCUGGGCUGUGGGACGAGAGGUCCAAUGAUAGUUUAUGGGUUGACGAUGUUUUUGGUUUUCACACCCAAAGAGCCAAAAUCGGACAAUGUCUCCAGUGCAAUAGUUUGCAGUCUGUUUUGGUCUCCGGAAACCUGUCACAACAAGAUUUUUUGAAAUUAAUCAAUCCAGCCAGAAAGCAAACUGAAAAACACUACUGUCCAAAAUGUAAAAAGCAAACACAGCAUAAGACUCACUUUUGUUUUGAAACAAGCAGUAAUUAUAAUUUUGAUGAACGAAGAAGAAAAAGAAGAAAUGAGGGAUUCUAAGGUGACUGAGAUCGAGGUUCUAAUGAUGGCAUUCCCUCAACAUGUGCAUCUUGGAGGAAAGAUUUGGAGAUUCUGCUCGGCUUCAAUCGGAGUGAGAUCUCCCACCAGCUUAUGAUAAGUCGGCCAGAGAUUGGAAAAUUCAACGACAUAUGCGAUUCUAACCCUGACAUAAAAUGCGUACCGUUUGAAGAUUUUAAGAAAGGACUACCAAAAAGACACUUUUUCGACUUCAGCUAAGUUCUUUACGUCAAGGAAUUGGCAGGAUCUGGUGGACCCUAACCGGUGAUAGAUUGAUGGGUGUAAUUGUGCAAAUAGUUUGGUGAUGUUCUUUUUUGUUUGUAAAUAAAUUAAAUAAUUCAUUCUUCUGAA